UACGGGGGGGGCAAGCGUUGUUCGGAAUUACUGGGCGUAAAGGGCUCGUAGGCGGCCAACUAAGUCAGACGUGAAAUCCCUCGGCUCAACCGGGGAACUGCGUCUGAUACUGGAUGGCUUGAGGUUGGGAGAGGGAUGCGGAAUUCCAGGUGUAGCGGUGAAAUGCGUAGAUAUCUGGAGGAACACCGGUGGCGAAGGCGGCAUCCUGGACCAAUUCUGACGCUGAGGAGCGAAAGCUAGGGGAGCAAACAGG
rnacentral:rRNA from 1 species